GCGAGGAGUGGUGUGUGUAUGUAGAUGCCUGGGAGGUGGAAUGAAAGGUGAGUGGGAGAGGUGAGGAGUGGACUGGUCUGGAAGACAAACUGCCUGAACCAGGUCUCGACAUGGAGAGGUGAGGAGUAGACUGGUCUGAAAGACAAACUGCCUGAACCAAGUCACACCAUGGAGGGGCGACAGGCAGUUCCCAGUCUGAACCAAGUCACAACUUGGAGGGGUGACAGAUAGUUCCCAGUCUGAACCAAAUCACAACAUGGAGGGGUGACAGACAGUUCCCAGUCUGAACACAACAUGGAGGGGUGACAGGUAGUUCCCAGUCUGAACCAAGUCACAACAUGGAGGGGUGACAGACAGUUCCCAGUCUGAAC
ensembl:lncRNA